rnacentral:rRNA from 1 species
AGAGUUUGAUCAUGGCUCAGAUUGAAUGCUGGCGGCAGGCCUAACACAUGCAAGUCGAGCGGUAGAGAGAAGCUUGCUUCUCUUGAGAGCGGCGGACGGGUGAGUAAUGCCUAGGAAUCUGCCUGGUAGUGGGGGAUAACGUUCGGAAACGGACGCUAAUACAGCAUACGUUCUACGGGAGAAAGCAGGGGGGCUUCGGGCCUUGCGCUAUCAGAUGAGCCUAGGUCGGAUUAGCUAGUUGGUGAGGUAAUGGCUCGCCAAGGCGACGAUCCGUAACUGGUCUGAGAGGAUGAUCAGUCACACUGGAACUGAGACACGGUCCAGACUCCUACGGGAGGCAGCAGUGGGGAAUAUUGGACAAUGGGCGAAAGCCUGAUCCAGGCAUGCCGCGUGUGUGAAGAAGGUCUUCGGAUUGUAAAGCACUUUAAGUUGGGAGGAAGAGCAGUUACCUAAUACGGAUUGUUUUGCGUCCGACAGAAUAACGCCGGCGAGG